rnacentral:rRNA from 1 species
GGGACGGACGCUCUGGUGUGCCAGUUGUUCUGCCAAGGGCAUGGCUGGUUGGCUACGUUCGGGAGGGAUAACCGCUGAAAGCAUCUAAGCGGGAAGCCUGCUUCGAGAUGAGUAUUCCCACCUCCUUGAGAGGGUAAGGCUCCCAGUAGACGACUGGGUUGAUAGGCCGGAUAUGGAAGCCCUGUAAGGGGUGGAGUUGACCGGUACUAAUAGGCCGAGGGCUUGUCCUCAGUUG